GAUUACCUCUGUAAACACUAAAUGCAUUAUACAGAGGCAAGAUGAAAGGAAAAUGCAAUCUGUCUAAACUGUUUCUUAUGACAGUCAGUUCCCCUCAGAGAUAAAUUCAUACUUCGUGCAUUGUAAACAGUGAGCUUGCUCUGCCUGCUAUGUAUUUUUUCCUGUUAACGCCGUUAACAGACUCUCGUCUUCAAGCGUAUAUUGGAAGCCUGUUGCACCUGAGUAGUUUUGAAGAUUGGUUUUCAUGGUUAUUGCCUGUGAAGUUUCAGUGCAUUUGCGUGUGUGGAGCAAAGGACGCUUAUGAUAAAUGCGGAAGCACGUGGGCGUGAUGUGUUAAAACAACUUUACCGACUACAUAGGCCUACGUGUUCUGUUUGUGCACUUCAGUUAAGUAGGGAGCACGCUGUAGGCCUGGAGGCAGUGUGUCAUGCUGGAUUAGAAAAAGAUCUUUCCAAAGUGUUGAAAAAAAAUUAACCAAGAGAAGUAUCUUCGCUGAAGAAAUGUCAGCUGUUAAUCCUUAGACACCUGUGAACACCAAGCAGUCUCUUGAGUCCAAGACAUCAAGUGCAUCGUCUUUAUUAUACUUCUCUGACAUAACAGUUAGAGCUAAAGAGGAAGUUCAAGUAAUUGUCUGCAUUUACCAUUAUACUGUGUAAUUUUUUGCAACAACAGUGGGAAUCAUAACUGAAGAGACAAACUGACCAACAGGAAGCUUUGGAUCUGCUGAAUAUGUAUUUUUCUAGCAUUUUAUUGUGGUGUUCACUUUUAUUUUUCUGCACAAUGAUUUGCUCUUUACAGAAAUGAAAGCUCCCAAGUAAAGAACUCACCAAAUUAUGAUGUGAAAAGACAUGUUAUUUAAAACAAUGUUUAUAUUUAGCUUAAGCUUUACUUAAAUUUUACAAUCCAAGUUUAAGUAAAUGCAUGGGUAAUUUUGCAAAAUGUGUUAAAUAUUGUAUCUACACUUAGGCUAUUGUAUAACUGUUUUUUUUUUCUGUAAUUGCAUGUUUUUGUAAAUAAAUGUAUUAUUUUGUAAACGUUCCUCCUGCCAGCUUGAUCUAGUGAGUUCUUUAAUGGAUUUUAAAAUUGCUUUCAUAAUAAUGUCAUGUUUUUAUAUUUAUGUCAUGUUAUUUAUAUUAUAAUCUACAUAAUUAAAAUGAAAGUAAUGUUUUGGCUGGAUAUUAAUUUCAAAU
ensembl:lncRNA